rnacentral:rRNA from 1 species
UGGGGAAUAUUGCACAAUGGGGGAAACCCUGAUGCAGCGACGCCGCGUGAGCGAAGAAGGUUUUCGAAUCGUAAAGCUCUGUCCUAUGAGAAGAUAAUGACGGUAUCAUAGGAGGAAGCCCCGGCUAAAUACGUGCCAGCAGCCGCGGUAAUACGUAUGGGGCGAGCGUUGUCCGGAAUUAUUGGGCGUAAAGGGUACGUAGGCGGUCUAUUAAGUCAGGUGUGAAAGCGUGAGGCUUAACCUCAUUAAGCACUUGAAACUGAUAGACUUGAGUGAAGGAGAGGAAAGUGGAAUUCCUAGUGUGGCGGUGAAAUGCGUAGAUAUUAGGAGGAAUACCGGUGGCGAAGGCGACUUUCUGGACUUUUACUGACGCUGAGGCGCGAAAGCGUGGGGAGCAAACAGG